rnacentral:tRNA from 4 species
UUGCUGCUUGUCCAGGCUGCGGAACAAGGCAUCGUUGGCCUUUUUCUGGCUUUCGUUGGCAAGGCGGCGGUUCUCUUCCAUCGCUGCCUU